rnacentral:rRNA from 1 species
UACGGGGGGAGCAAGCGUUGUUCGGAUUUACUGGGCGUAAAGGGCGCGUAGGCGGCCACUGCAAGUCAGUUGUGAAAUCUCCGGGCUUAACCCGGAGCGGCCAAGUGAUACUGUCGUGCUAGAGUGCGGAAGGGGCUACUGGAAUUCUCGGUGUAGCGGUGAAAUGCGUAGAUAUCGAGAGGAACACCUGCGGCGAAGGCGGGUAGCUGGGCCGACACUGACGCUGAGGCGCGAAAGCCAGGGGAGCGAACGGG